rnacentral:misc_RNA from 1 species
UGUGGGAGCGGGCUUGCUCGCGAUUCAAACGGCGCGGUGUAUCUGAACAGACGCGUCGAUCCAAUCGCGAGCAAGCCCGCUCCCACA